rnacentral:rRNA from 1 species
CUACGGGUGGUAGCAGUGGGGAAUAUUGCACAAUGGGGGAAACCCUGAUGCAGCCAUGCCGCGUGUGUGAAGAAGGCCUUCGGGUUGUAAAGCACUUUCAGCGAGGAGGAAAGGUUGGUAGCUAAUAACUGCCAGCUGUGACGUUACUCGCAGAAGAAGCACCGGCUAACUCCGUGCCAGCAGCCGCGGUAAUACGGAGGGUGCAAGCGUUAAUCGGAAUUACUGGGCGUAAAGCGCACGCAGGCGGUUGGAUAAGUUAGAUGUGAAAGCCCCGGGCUCAACCUGGGAAUUGCAUUUAAAACUGUCCAGCUAGAGUCUUGUAGAGGGGGGUAGAAUUCCAGGUGUAGCGGUGAAAUGCGUAGAGAUCUGGAGGAAUACCGGUGGCGAAGGCGGCCCCCUGGACAAAGACUGACGCUCAGGUGCGAAAGCGUGGGGAGCAAACAGGAUUAGAUACCCUCGUAGUC